rnacentral:lncRNA from 1 species
ACAUCAGAUGGAUCCACACCAUAGAAGACUGGUAAAACUUCUAGACCCUUAUUGCUGCAUUCCAUGAUCAUUUGAAGUUCAUCCAAACACCAGGUGGAGGAAGCAUAGUCUGGUGAGAGGACAGUGAUGGCAAACAUAGAAUCUUUAAUUGCAUUGAUUAGCUUUUCUGAAAUGACUUGCCCUCUCUCAAGGUCUUUGUCAUCUCUAAAAGUUGUUAUCCCUUUUCUUUCAAGGGCAGCACAUAAAUGAUCAGUGAAUCCUUUGCGUGUAUCUUCUCCUCGAAAACUCAAAAACACAUGGUAGCUGCAUAAACUUGUGGUUGAACUUGAUCUGCAAGAAGAAGAAGAAGAGGCUUCCAUUUGUUCAACAAUUGCUACAACUUUUCAU